AGGCCUAUAGCUCAGUCGGUUAGAGCAGCGGACUCAUAAUCCGUUGGUCCACAGUUCGAGUCUGUGUGGGCCAC
rnacentral:tRNA from 1 species